AUGCAGGGUCUCGCUGGUUGUGAAGAGAGGCGAACGUCGCCGUCCCUGAAGCAGACAUCGCCGGUGCGACCCUGCCCCAUCAGCGCCGGACACCGCCAUCGGCAUUGGGAGCCUCCCUGUGCGCAGGCCACUGCCUGCGUGCCGAAAGAUAAGCGCCCGCCCUCGGCUGAUCAACGACCAUCGAGCAUACGCCAGUGCACCGUAGUCCAAAGCAGUCCAAAGCCCGCCGUCUGCAAGAUCAGAUGCAUCGCUGCUCGUCUCGGCCUUCAUAUGGAGCUCCCCCUCCGGCUCAACGGCCUAGCGGUCAGCAUCAGUGAGUGUACGUCUACACGCAAAGAUGAGCCAAAGGGGCGGCAUGCUCGCUCCCAGCGCAAGAGGAACUGGCGUAGCCGACAACUUUGGCGAUUUGGGUAG
rnacentral:rRNA from 1 species